rnacentral:rRNA from 1 species
UACGGGGGGGGCAAGCGUUGUUCGGAAUUACUGGGCGUAAAGCGUGCGCAGGCGGUUCGUUGUGUCGGCGGUGAAAGCCCCGGGCUCAACCUGGGAAUGGCCGUUGAAACUGGCGAACUGGAGUGUGGCAGAGGGGGGUGGAAUUCCGCGUGUAGCAGUGAAAUGCGUAGAGAUGCGGAGGAACACCGAUGGCGAAGGCAGCCCCCUGGGCUGACACUGACGCUCAGGCACGAAGGCUAGGGGAGCGAACGGG